AUGCAACACGUUGACAAAUACCAUACACACAUGUUAGCAAAUACGGCAGCUAGAUUAGUGUGCAUAAUUCCGCUCAUAGAGGCGCCACCAGGUGGCGCCCCAACCGCUAGUAACAAGAAAAUGUGGGAAGAAUGCUUGCCUCAUAUUGAAUUUGCUUAUAAUCGUUCAUUGCAUUCUACUACUAAGAUGUGCCCUUUUGAAAUUGUGUAUGGUUUCCUACCUCGUGCACCUAUUGAUUUGUUGCCUCUUCCAUCUUCGGGGAAGGUUAAUUUUGAUGCUAAAGAACGUGCUGAAUUGAUUUUAAAAAUGCAUGAGUUAACUAAGGAAAACAUUGAGCGUAUGAAUGCUAAAUAUAAACUUGUUGGAGAUAGGGGUAGAAAAUAUGUUGUGUUUGCACCUGGAGAUCUUGUUUGGUUACAUUUGCGUAAGGAUAGAUUUCCUAAUUUGCGCAGAUCAAAGCUAAUGCCACGUGCUGAUGGUCCUUUUAAGGUGUUAGAGAAAAUAAAUGAUAAUGCAUGUAAACUUGAGCUGCCUGCAGAUUUUGGGGUUAGUCCCACUUUUAACAUUGCAGAUUUGAAGCCUUAUUUGGGUGAGGAAGAUGAGUUUUCGUCGAGGACGACUUUAUUUCAAGAAGGGGAGGAUGAUGAGGACAUCAAUACCAUUGUUACACCCACACGCCUUGCUGCUAUACAUACUGGACCAAUUACUAGAGCGCGCCAAUUAAAUUAUCAGGUACUUUCGUUUCUUGGUAAUGAUUCUAAUGUUCAUGAGAAUAUGAUGCUGCCUAAAUUGGAUACAUUUGUUUUGCUUACAAAUGAAGGGCCUGUCAUGGAUAAGAGGGAUAAACACUAG
rnacentral:rRNA from 1 species